UCGGGAAUUUUGGGCAAUGGGGGAAACCCUAACCCAGCAACGCCGCGUGAAGGAUGAAGUAUUUCGGUAUGUAAACUUCGAAAGAAUAGGAAGAAUAAAUGACGGUACUAUUUAUAAGGUCCGGCUAACUACGUGCCAGCAGCCGCGGUAAUACGUAGGGACCAAGCGUUGUUCGGAUUUACUGGGCGUAAAGGGCGCGUAGGCGGCAUGACAAGUCACUUGUGAAAUCUCUGGGCUUAACCCAGAACGGCCAAGUGAUACUGUCGCGCUAGAGUGCAGAAGGGGCAAUCGGAAUUCUUGGUGUAGCGGUGAAAUGCGUAGAUAUCAAGAGGAACACCUGAGGUGAAGACGGGUUGCUGGGCUGACACUGACGCUGAGGCGCGAAAGUUAGGGGAUCAAACAGGAUUAGAUACCCAUGUAGUCCCUGAGCGGGCUGGCAAGGCGCAU
rnacentral:rRNA from 1 species